GAGAGGAUGUGGAGAAACGGGAACCCUCUUGCACUGUUGGUGGGAAUGCAAACUGACAGAGCCACUAUUGAAAACAACACAGAGGAUCCUCAAAAAGUUAAAAAUAGAUCUACCAUAUGAUCUAGCAAUUCCCCUUCUGGGAAUAUAUCCAAAGGAAACAAAA